rnacentral:tRNA from 1 species
GCCUGGGUGGCUUAGUCAGUUAAGCAUCUGACUUUAGCUCAGGUCCUGAUCUCAGUUUGUGAGUUCGAGCCCCGCGUCGGGCU